UUCAGAGCAUCAGGCCUAACGGCAAAUGCCUUUAGCCCCACAGCCGUCACAUCCGUCGACCUGGUUUGGACACAGGGUCUCUCGCUGAAACUGAAGCUUGCGGGCUAGACUGCCUAGCCAGCAAGUCUCCUGGAGCCUCUUCUCUCUGCCCGCCCAGAACUGGGGAUACAGGGCAAGCUCAGGGAUCAGGACACAGAUGUUCAAUAACAUGUUGCCGGCUGGCUCCUUUAAGGAUGCUGCCUGGGUGCCUGGUGGACAGCCUCGGCAAGAAGGAACACAGGUCUGGAGGACAGAAGAGGUGUCAGGCAGAACAGAGCCACUGGAGAGAUGGUUUGAGAAUGUGAAGCCCCGGGCAAUAAAGGAGGAGGAUGCUGGAAAGGCCUUGGCCUGUGGGGCAGGGACUCCUGCCCAAGGACCAGGGAAGGGGGCCAGGCAACGGGACCAUCUCUCCAGCCCCUGGAGCCUCCACCCCCACGCCGGCAGGAAUUCCCGGAAUCCUCCUCAGUCCCCCUAGCUUUCUCUACCCCCCUCCUUGCCCUGCCUGGCAGUCAAGGACAGGAGCCGCGCCUAACUACUUCCAGAUGUGACAAGCCAUGAGGCCAUGAGGGGGAGGGGGCCAGAGAACUGAGGGAGCAGCAGUGGACAUACGGUUAGGGGUUCCCACCUUUGCCCUGCUCCAGAGCCAGCUAAGGACCAGUAUCUGACUCCUGCGUGCUGCCCUUCCCCCAGUCUCAUUUUCUGAAUGUCAGCUAAGAGACAAGUUCAAGGUCGUGGCUUUCUGGGUUCAAACUCCACGCAGAGGCAUGGCUCUGGGUGGAAGGCAGACUUAGGGCAGGAGAACGGUAGUGAAGUGGUGGGACAGUGGUGGUCUGCAGAGCAGCAUGGCUUCGCAGCAGACAGGGAGAGUAUGAAUCUUAGAGGAAGAUGGGGAAUGUGCAGGGGUUGCUAGCAGAAGAGCUCACAGGACCUAAAGGCACAGCCCUCCCAGAGUCACAAGCAUUUCGAAGCUCCCUCUGGACGCCAUCUGGAAGACAUGAGACCUACCUGGUAUAGUUGGGGUUCUGGCCCCGGGCAAGAGGCAGUACCCAGGCCACAAGGAAUGGCCCCAGGAGGGAGGUUAGGGCAGCAGACAGCAUUGUGUAGGGGGAGUGCUGGAAGCAGCAGCAGCAGCAGCAGCAGCAGCAGCAGCAGCAGCAGCAGCAGCAGCAACAGCAGCAGCAGCAGGAUAAUCAGUACCAGAUGAGGCAGCCCUGGGUGUGUGGGCGUGGGGACUGGCCAACUGGGCGGGCGGCAGGGGAGGCGGGACAGGGAGACAGCUGGGACAGUGGUGAGUCCCUGCAGGGGCCUCUCUAUGUCUUGGACAUAUAUUGAUUGACUAAAGGAUGCUGGGAGCUACAGGAGGCAGAAAGAGCAUCGUCUACGUCGAAUGAUGUCAUUGGCGACUCCACUCUGUCCUGUGCCUGAGAACCUGGUCUUUCCUGUAGACUUCCAGGUGCAGA